rnacentral:lncRNA from 1 species
UUGGGCUUGCAAGCUAUUAUGACUUGGGUCUAGAAUUCAAGACUACUAUUGGACCUCACACCCAAGUAGUCUUUUUCAUUCAAUUUAUUGGAAAGGAAGACGCGUUUGAAUUUGUUUGGAGAAAGACAUGUAAUUGGACUUGCAAGCUAUUACGACUUGGGUCUAAUACUCAGGAUAAUUACCAGACCUUACACCCAGGUAGUCUUUUUCUUCCAUUAUU